rnacentral:lncRNA from 1 species
AACAUGCUCCUGAAUGGCUUUUUAAUAAAUAAUGAAAUUAAGGCAGAAAUCAAGAAGUUCUUUGAAAAUAAUGAGAACAAAGUUACAACAUACUAGAGCCUCUGGACAUAGCUAAGGCAAUGUUAGGAGGGAAAUUUAUAGCACUAAAUCCCACAUCAAAAAGUUAGGAAGAACUCAAAUUAAUAACCUAACAUCACAACUGAAAGAACUAGAGAAGCAAGACAAAACCCCAAAGCUAGAGGAAGACAAGAAAUAACUGAAAAUCCAAGCUGAACUGAAAGAAACUGAGACAUGAAAAAAAAAUUCAACAGAUCUACGAAUUCAGGACACUACCCAAAGCAGUCCUUCACUACAGUGGCAGACAGACCUGAAAAUUUUCAUCUGAAGCAGCAGAGUGAACUGCAGAGUCAGGUCACCAACCAGUGUGGAGGCUAACAGCAGGCCUCUUUGGGGAUUCCAGGUGGAAGUGUUGGACAUCUGUAGUAUUCCUGGUCUCGAAUCAUCCUGAUAUUCUUCAUUUUGUUAUUCACAUUGGACUAGG